UACGUAGGGUGCAAGCGUUGUCCGGAAUUAUUGGGCGUAAAGAGCUCGUAGGCGGUCUGUCGCGUCGAUCGUGAAAACUUGGGGCUUAACCCUGAGCUUGCGGUCGAUACGGGCAUGACUGGAGUUCGGCAGGGGAGACUGGAAUUCCUGGGUGUAGCGGUGAAAUGCGCAGAUAUCAGGAGGAACACCGGUGGCGAAGGCGGGUCUCUGGGCCGAUACUGACGCUGAGGAGCGAAAGCGUGGGGAGCGAACAGG
rnacentral:rRNA from 1 species